GCGGCGGACGGGUGAGUAACGCGUGGGUAACCUACCCCAAAGUCCGGGAUAACAGCGGGAAACCGCUGCUAAUACCGGAUGCCUUUACCUUGGGGCAUCUUGAGGUAAAGAAAGGUAACGCUUUGGGAUGGGCCCGCGUCCCAUUAGCUAGUUGGUGAGGUAACGGCUCACCAAGGCGACGAUGGGUAGCCGGCCUGAGAGGGUGGACGGCCACACUGGGACUGAGACACGGCCCAGACUCCUACGGGAGGCAGCAGUAGGGAAUAUUGCGCAAUGGACGGAAGUCUGACGCAGCGACGCCGCGUGAGUGAUGAAGGUCUUCGGAUCGUAAAGCUCUGUCCUUGGGGAAGAAGGCGAAAGCUUGACGGUACCCAAGAAGAAAGCCCCGGCUAACUACGUGCCAGCAGCCGCGGUAAUACGUAGGGGGCGAGCGUUGUCCGGAAUUACUGGGCGUAAAGGGUGCGUAGGCGGCCCUUUAAGUCGGAUGUGAAAGCCCGCG
rnacentral:rRNA from 1 species